GCUGAGCAGCUAGCCCAAUAUAUCUAGGACAUCACCUCAACAGACCUUGCCCUAGCAUAAACCUAAAAUUUAUUAAACAAACCAUUUUUCCACCCUAGUAUGGGAGACAGAAAAGAAAAUUUGAGCAACAGAAAAAGUACCGCAAGGGAAAGCUGAAAGAGAAAUGAAACAACCCAUUUAAGCUAAGAAAAACAGAGCUUCAACCUCGUACCUUUUGCAUCAUGAUUUAGCCAGUAAACUCAAGCAAAGAGACCUUUAGUCUGAGCCCCCGAAACUAGACGAGCUACUCCGAGACAGCCUAUUUUAGGGCCAACCCGUCUCUGUGGCAAAAGAGUGGGACGAGCUCCGAGUAGAGGUGAUAAACCUACCGAGCCUAGUUAUAGCUGGUUGCUUAGGAAAUGAAUAAAAGUUCAGCCUCCCGGAUUCUCAAACCCCCAAAGUCCUACUGAUUUUGGCUACAGAAACUAGGAGAGUUAGUCAAAGGAGGUACAGCUCCUUUGAACCAGGACACAACCUUUUCAGGUGGAUAAGGAUCACAAUAAAUUAAGGUAGACUGUUUUAGUGGGCCUAAAAGCAGCCACCUAAGUAGAAAGCGUUAAAGCUCAGACAGCUCAGAAGCCCCUUAUUCUGUUAAACACUCCGACCCCCUGGCACCUACUAAGCCGCCCCAUGCCCCCAUGGGAGAGCCUAUGCUAAAAUUAGUAAUAAGAGGGGCCACCCCCUCUCCUUGCACAUGUGUAAGUCGGAUCGGACCCCCCACCGACAAUUAACGAACCCCCGCCAAGAGGGAACUUCGAACUAAACCAAAAACAAGAAAACCCCGAACAUUCUAUCGUUAUCCCCACACAGGAGUGCCCUAAGGAAAGACUUAAAGGAAGAGAAGGAACUCGGCAAACACAAGCCUCGCCUGUUUACCAAAAACAUCGCCUCUUGCUAAACUUUACAUAAGAGGUCCCGCCUGCCCUGUGACUAUGGGUUUAACGGCCGCGGUAUUUUGACCGUGCGAAGGUAGCGCAAUCACUUGUCUUUUAAAUGAAGACCUGUAUGAAUGGCACGACGAGGGCUCAACUGUCUCCUCUCCCCCGUCAAUGAAAUUGAUCUUCCCGUGCAGAAGCGGGAUUACCCCCAUAAGACGAGAAGACCCUAUGGAGCUUUAGACACCAGGCAGCCCAUAUUUAACAGACCUGUCCCACCAGGAAGAAUUCAAUGGCCCCUCUCCUACUUGUCUUUGGUUGGGGCGACCACGGAGGAAAAAGAAGCCUCCAUGAGGACUGAGUGUACAACACUUACAGCCAAGACCCACUGCUCUAAGCAACAGAACUUCUGACCAAAUGAUCCGGUUUACACCGAUCAACGAACCGAGUUACCCUAGGGAUAACAGCGCAAUCCUCUCCCAGAGUCCCUAUCGACGAGGGGGUUUACGACCUCGAUGUUGGAUCAGGACAUCCUAAUGGUGCAGCCGCUAUUAAGGGUUCGUUUGUUCAACGAUUAAAGUCCUACGUGAUCUGAGUUCAGACCGGAGUAAUCCAGGUCAGUUUCUAUCUAUGAACCAGUCUCUCCUAGUACGAAAGGACCGGAGAGAGGGGGCCCAUGCCCAAGGCACGCCCCUCCCUUAUCCAGUGAAAACAACUAAACUGGAAAGAGGGCACCCCAGGCCAUGCCUAAAAGAACGGCAA
rnacentral:rRNA from 1 species